rnacentral:misc_RNA from 1 species
GUAAACUACAAGGUCUACAUCCCCAAGAGGGCUCCUGCUCUGUCCAGGAGAAAACUCAAUCGGUGAUGAGGCUCAGUUAAAUUUUCAUGCCAAUUUAAUUUCAUUUGUAGAUUAUUAAUCAAAUUUGGUGUGCUGAGACUGAGUCAGGACUUAGGUGCUAGUUGGCUGAAUUCAGAUGUUCCUGGGACAAACUACGAUGUGAAUGCUUGUGUAUCAAAAAACAUUUUCCUGCCUGUGUAGCUAUGAGCUCUUUUAUCCUCAGAAGAAAGCCGUUACAGUGAUCUUUAGCUAUGUUUGUGUAGAAUAGAAGAAAAGAACAAAAUUAAGCAUUUCACAAUGAAGCUCUCGCAUUUUCCUCAUUCUGUGUCGUUCUUUUCUGGAUGUAGUUAGUAUUUUCCGUAGUUAUUGAGAACAGAAUUAAGAGGAUAUUAUUGACCAUUUGGCUGCAGUCUGCUGAAUGUGUGUUGAAUUGUAUAAUUUAGCAGGUUCAGCUCAAACUUUUUGGUGGACUCGAACGUCUUAAAUGCUUAUGCUGAUGUAAUCCUUUGUUACUUACUGUCACUGUUGGAGA